rnacentral:rRNA from 1 species
GAUGAACGCUGGCGGCGUGCCUAAUACAUGCAAGUCGAGCGAACAGAUAAGGAGCUUGCUCCUUUGACGUUAGCGGCGGACGGGUGAGUAACACGUGGGUAACCUACCUAUAAGACUGGGAUAACUUCGGGAAACCGGAGCUAAUACCGGAUAACAUUUGGAACCGCAUGGUUCUAAAGUGAAAGAUGGUUUUGCUAUCACUUAUAGAUGGACCCGCGCCGUAUUAGCUAGUUGGUAAGGUAACGGCUUACCAAGGCGACGAUACGUAGCCGACCUGAGAGGGGGAUCGGCCACACUGGAACUGAGACACGGUCCAGACUCCUACGGGAGGCAGCAGUAGGGAAUCUUCCGCAAUGGGCGAAAGCCUGACGGAGCAACGCCGCGUGAGUGAUGAAGGGUUUCGGCUCGUAAAACUCUGUUAUUAGGGAAGAACAAAUGUGUAAGUAACGGUGCACGUCUUGACGGUACCUAAUCAGAAAGCCACGGCUAACUACGU